rnacentral:tRNA from 1 species
GGGGAUUUGGUUCAGUGGUAGAGCGUUUGCCUAGCAAGCACAAGGCCCUGGGUUCGGUCCCCAGCUCCG